rnacentral:lncRNA from 1 species
AUUGUGUGCAGUGUCCCGAGUCCGAAGGCGAAUGGGGUGAGAGUCAGUCUGGAAAGCACAGCCAGGGAACCAGGUUGCUGCGCAGUGCUCAGCUCCCAGCGCUCACCAAUCCUGCAGCAAACACUCUCAGAGCAGCCCCUGAGGGCCACCCUCUGCCAGGUGGAGGUACAGACGCAACUAAGACACCAAGGAGCUCCAGGCGUCCGCCUUUCCUGGCUCAGUGGCCCCUGACACAUGAGGUAAAGCGGUGUCUCAGAUAAGAGGGGGGGAACUUUCUGGCUUUUUCUCACGCACUCAUGUUUGUCUCCCAGGGUGUGGUGGGGAGGGCUGGGAGGAUCUUGCGAGCUGGCUGGCAGCAGUGAGUGUCCAGGAUAAUGAGGGCCAAAUACUUUUCCUCCAGUAGAUUCUCGAGUGUCUGAAAUGCACCACUUAAUGGGACGCAGUUGCAAGUGAAAUAAGUGGGUC